CUACUACAACAGCAUAGAGAACAAAGAUGCCAUUGGCCACAGAUGAAGCAAUCAGAAGGGGCAUGACCAGUUUAACUAUGGAGAAGGAUUGGAGGAGGAAGAAUGGAAAUGAAGACUCUGGGAAAGAAACUCCUAAUAUGAGCUGC